rnacentral:rRNA from 1 species
AUUGAACGCUGGCGGCAGGCCUAACACAUGCAAGUCGAACGAGUGGCGGACGUGUGAGUAAUGUCUGGGGAACUGCCUGAUGGAGGGGGAUAACUACUGGAAACGGUAGCUAAUACCGCAUACCAUCGGAUGUGCCCAGAUGGGAUUAGCUAGUAGGUGGGGUAACGGCUGACCUAUGCUACGAUCCCUAGCUGGUCUGAGAGGAUGACCGGCCACAUUGGAACUGAGACACGGCCCAAACGCCUACGGGAGGCAGCAGUGGGGAAUAUGGCACAAUGGGCGCAAGCCUGAUGCAGCAAUGCCGCGUGUAUGAAGAAGGCUUUCGGGUUGUAAAGUACUGUCAGCGAGGAGGCGUUAAUCACAGAAGAAGCAACGGCUAACUCCGUGCCAGCAGCCGCGGUAAUAC